AAAUCAUUUAUGGUUGAAGUCAGACUUCUUUAAUGACAUGAUGAUUAUGAUUGAUUGAUAGUUUUAAAAAAAUCUUUGAUAUUGAUGUUGCACGUAAAGCUUUCCCUAUAUGCUUAAUUCGAAUUGAUUUUAGUUAACAACUCUAAGACUGAUUAAGUCCCCUCAAUUGUGUCAGGAAUCAGGAAAAUAUAUGAUCAGAAAUAUACACAUUAUGAAGUUAUAGGAAUAUUGAGUUACUUCUGCGGAAGUGUUGGAAAAUUUAAUAGUUCAAAGCUCAAAGAGGCUUCCGCGUAUGAAGCAAUGUUGCAUGCCAGAGUCAUAUUUUCGUAUAAAUGCCAUAGUUAUAGGAAUAUUUUCGUCAUCUCCAAUCAAUCUCCGAACAAAUUCGUCAUCUCCGUUAGAACUCGUCAUCUCCGAUCGAUUUCCAAUUGUUCGAAUCUCUACCGAAGCCUAUUUCCGUUGAUCCAAUAGAUCUCGAUGAUGAACAAGGUGCAAUUUAUCAGAGGUUCAAUGUGAUGAAUGUUAGUUUCAAGUCUACCUAAUUGCAGAUCUAUGUCUGGUGUUGGCACCACAUUUUGGAGAAGGCGGAGAAGGAUGACACCCUGCGUGUCAUUCUCCUUAUGAUAACAAAAAGAUUGUUGGGGCGACGGCCAAGUGUUAAAGGUAUAGUGCUUGUUUCAGUGAUCUAGAAUAUGGUCCCUAACUCCGGCGAGCAGAGGAGUCGGGAUUUCAGACAACUCUCAGAUUGUAAAAGGGUGUUCCGAAAAAAAAACUCAUCAUCUGCAUUAAACUACUCACUCAGACUUUACGUUCCUCGUUGUCCCUCUACUCUAUGUUCUUCAUCAUCGUAAAUAAAUCCUCCAACCCUGAUAUAAAGGUCAGGAAAUUAUCUCAAAGCUGCUGCACUCUACACUCAAACCAUCAAAAAGGACCCUUCAAAUCCCAUACGUUUUAGUAAUCGUGUUGUAGCAUUGCAGCAUUCCAGAAAUCGUGUUCCAUCGUCCACCGUCGUUCUCUCCGAUCGAUAUCGAUCUUCCUCUCUGAUUACAACGAUCCUAUGAUUCAUCUAUUGCAGAGAUUCAAUCUAUUAGUUUAAUUUAUGGUUUCGAACAACCUGAGGGUAUAAUUUGAAGGGAAAGGGCACUCUGAAGCAGCAAUUAGCCAACAUCCGAUCUGUCUUAGAGGACUUAAAGUCAAAGAAGGCUGAGAGAAUCAAGGAAAUUUUAGAAAAAAGUCCCAAAUUUCUCAGAUCUGUGCUGAAAUAGCAUGUUGUGGACAGUCCAAAGCUGUCACGGAUCAAGAUGUUGAUCAAUGUGAUCUGACCAAGGAGAAAUUGGGGGAACUCAAAUCACACGUUCAUGAACUUCAAAAUGAAAAGAUGGCAUAAUUAUUUUGAUUUCCUGAUGUAGUGCUUUAUAUACAAUUGGUAUUUGGAAUAAGGUUCUUGAAGAUAUAUGAAUAUAAUUUUACUUUCUUGGAGGUACAAAAACUUGCUAAGUUUUUGGUAGAGUUAUGGGAUCUUAUGGAGAUACAGAUUGAUGAGAAAAAGGCCUUUAACCAUGUUAUUAGAUUAAUUUCAGCAUCAGUUGAUGAAGUGUCAAUCGAAGGUGGCCUUUGUUCUAAUGUCAGUGAGCAGGUGAAACCUUCAACGACUUGUACUUGCAUUGCAAUUUUAUUUGUAUAGUCUGAAUUUUAGUUGCUUGAUUAUUUAUAUUUGUGUUGGUUGAGGUUGAAGUUCAGCGCUUAAAUGUUUUGAAAGCCAGUAAGAUGAAGGAAUUAGUGUUUAAAAGAUAGAAUGUACUUGAAGAAAUUUACAGAGGAGUUCAUAUGGAUAUGGAUAGUGAAGCUGUUAGACAGAUUCUGACCAGCCUCAUAGAAUCUGGUACAUAAACAAUGCCUGAAGUGUUGCUGAAUUUUUUUCUUGAAAUUUCAACGUGGCUACUUAUAAAUGUACCUUUAGAUUCCAUUUUAUUCCCUCUUAAAUACCCUAUGGAUCUGAUGUUACAGAUAUUGUUGUCAGAAUCCUAACCAGAAUCGUGAAAACCAACGAUUUUGCGAUUUUAAUUGGUAGGGGUGAGUGAAAUCGCAAAAUCCACCAAUAAAAAAAGGUUAAAACCUCCUAAUUGCUAGGAUCCAGUUUUUGAUUUAUUGUAAAAAUUUUAGCCCAUAAAGUGACUUAAUAUAUACAUUUUUUUUAGAGAUUA